AAAAAAAGAGUUGUGAAUGAUGAUGUGUCUUCAAAGAAUAUUGAGCACCAGGUAUAGUACUGUAAUUUUGCCAUUUUUUAUGUGCAAUUACUUUAGUAGUGGGAAUUGGGAACUUGUCCACUGUUGGAAAGAUAGUAUCUUUUACGCAUUUAUUUGUCAUAAAUGAUCCUGUUUCAUCUUGUUUUUUUAUUAAUGGCAUUUUUUUCAAUGCGCCACCUUUGUCAAUUCCAAUUUGAGUUACAAGCUCUAGUGCAGUGAUUGAUCACACUUUGAUUAAAUACUUCAAUUCAACCUCUAUUCAGCAGUUCCUUCAUAUCUUGCAUUGGACACAAAUUACCGAAGGAACAGAGGAGCAUAGCUGCAUGGGAAAGGAAAAGCUCAUUAAGCUGUAAUUGGUGGGGCAUAGGGCAUAAACCUAGUAAUAGUGGUUGAGUUGCAUCUGAGAUUAGUUUUCUAGAAGAGCAAAACACAUAUUUGCUUUUAGUGAUUCAAUUGGAGAGCUAUUGAAUUUUUUCUCUUUUUCCCUUUCCAAGUCAAAAUUAGGCAUAAGCGUAAAACCUAUUCUUUGCAUGGCCAUUUUAUAAAUGGUGUGUGUUCAUUUGUACUAUUAUGUAAUUUUCAUUUUCUCUGGGCAGCACAGUGAAUUUGCUUUGAUUUAAAUUUUUAUCUUCUCUUAUUUGUUCAAUUACAUAGGGGCUGAAACGAUUGAAGAAG
rnacentral:misc_RNA from 1 species